rnacentral:lncRNA from 10 species
AUUCUACCCAACUCUUUUAGCAAGGUUCUUUCCAUUUGGAUAUCCAGAUAACAUUUUCAGUCUGAAGUCCAGCUGUUUGCAAUUUUACUGCUUGUACUCCAACUCAGGCCUCACUUAAAUUUCUUUUAAUGGACCAUCUGUUCAACUUGUGAGUGUUAGUGGUACUAAAGUGUCCUUCUUGAUUGAUUGCAUUCAUUAAUGACAGUUGCACGAAUUAAGAGAACAGCAUAUUUGUAGAUGACAAGUCAUCAAAAUUAGAAUUGGAAUUCAAGAACACAAUAAUUGCAUGGAAAGAGAUUACAGUUUUUGCUUUCUAACAGGUAAAUAAUCACAGUAUCUAAUCAGAUAUAUUCCUUCAGAUCAAGGAGAUAAAGUAGAAUAUGUGCACUCAUACUUCAUCUUGUCCUCUAUCUGCUUAAAUGAACAGAAUUUUUAGGUUCUUACCACCUGUCAAGCAAUUAUUUGCCAUCAACCAAGAUCAAUUUUGAACUCCAGGGAAUGCCAUAGGAACCAGAUAUUUGUAAUUGGAGCUGCUUGACCAUUGGCAGUGGAAUUAUUCCUUCUAUCCUGCACACGCCUCCCCAUACAUCAGUUUUCCAGUUUCAUUUUUAUUCACUCCUUAUCUUAGGCAUAGAGACCUGUCUAAAGUUUGUCUACUCCUGUCUAUUUCAGAAUCCUCAAGGGCUGCUGCUGCUAGUAAUUAACACUAUGUCUACCUGCAAGAUAGUGUCCUGAAUCAUCAUAGGCAGCCAUACUUUUUAAAAAUAUUUAUUUAUUUUCAAUCAAUUUAGAGGUUUAUUUUUAAUUUUUAAUUUAAUUUAAUUUUAAGUUCCAGGAUACAUGUGCAGGAUGUGCAGGUUUGUUACAUAGGUAAACGUGUGCCAUAGUGGUUUGCUGCUCCUAUCAGCCCCUCACCUAGGUAUUAAGCCCCGCAUGCAUUAUCUAUUUAUCCUGAUGCUCUCCCUCUUCCCACCCCCAAACAGGCCUCAGUGUGUGUUGUUCCCCUCCCUGUGUCCGUGUGUUCUCAUUGUUCAGCUGCCAUUUAUAUGUGAGAACAUGUGGUGUUUGGUUUUCUCUUCCUGUGUUAGUUUUCUGAGGAUGAUGGCUUCCAGCUCCAUCCAUGUUGCUGCAAAGGACAUAAUCUCAUUCUUUUUUAUGGCUGCAUCAUAUUCCAUGGUGUAGAUGUACCACAUUUUCUUUAGCCAGUCUAUCAUUCGUGGGCAUUUGGAUUGAUUGAGAAGCUACUGUUACCAAAGGAUGCCAGUGAUUAUAGACAUCCCUGCGUGCAACAGGAAGCCUUGGUGCAUACCAUAGUCAUGUCCAUUUUGAAGAAACACUAGUGUAUCCAAAAAUGUCUGAUAGUAUAAAGGUUUGCAGACAGAUGUAGUGAUUAAGAUUAGAAAGAUAGAUUUGGGCCAGAUUAACAGAGGUCUUUAAAGCCCAUGAAGUAAGCUUAGACUUUGUCAUAACAAAUCUUUGGCCCCAAAUAGUCAAUAAGAAUUUUUUUUUUCUUUUUUUUGAGACAGAGUCUUGCUCUGUGUUGCCCAGGCACUCUUCGAUUUUAAUUCUUUGUAUUGUAUCACAUUAUCUCUCAUCAAGAUUAGUAGAGGUGAAGGGAAAUAAACACAGAGCCAGACUAUGUUUCAGUAGCAAUGUUGGUUUCACUGAGUACACAGCCUUCAUAAACCAGCUUCCUCAAGUGCUCAACCUAGAUCAAAGUAAUUCCCAGUUAGGCCACUGGAGCUACUCAGGAGGCUGAAGCAGGAGAAUUGCUUGAGCCCAGGAGGUGGAGGUUGCAGUAAGCCAAGAUCAUGCCACUGCACUCCAGCCUGGUUGACAGAGCAAGACCUUGUCUCAAACAAAAAAAAAAAAAAAAAAAAGAAAAGAAAAAAAAAUAAUAUGGUGCCACUUCAAAUAUAAUAUAUAAACUUUACAACAAUAUGGUUUCAUUACCUAUCCCGCCUUUUCUGUGCUUUCAUUG